rnacentral:rRNA from 1 species
GACGAACGCUGGCGGCGUGCCUAAUACAUGCAAGUCGAACGCUUUUUCUUUCACCGGAGCUUGCUCCACCGAAAGAAAAAGAGUGGCGAACGGGUGAGUAACACGUGGGUAACCUGCCCAUCAGAAGGGGAUAACACUUGGAAACAGGUGCUAAUACCGUAUAACACUAUUUUCCGCAUGGAAGAAAGUUGAAAGGCGCUUUUGCGUCACUGAUGGAUGGACCCGCGGUGCAUUAGCUCGUUGGUGAGGUAACGGCGCACCAAGGCAACGAUGCAGAGCCGACCGGAGAGGGUGAUCGGCCACACUGGGACUGAGGCACGGCCCAGACUCCUACGGGAGGCAGCAGUAGGGAAUCGUCGGCAAUGGACGAAAGUCUGACCGAGCACCGCCGCGUGAGUGAAGAAGGUUUUCGGAUCGUAAAACUCUGUUGUUAGAGAAGAACAAGGAUGAGAGUAGAACGUUCAUCCCUUGACGGUAUCUAACCAGAAAGCCACGGCUAACUACGUGCCAGCAGCCGCGGUAA